UCUCAUAUAUAUCCGCCCCGUUUUCCCCGUUUUAUGCUUCUAUAUGUUUCAUUAUAUGUGUUUGGUAAAAUUGAGGUAAUUCAGAUAGAGUUCGGCUAGAAAUGAGACAAAUAGUCUUUUUAAGGAAAGGGUAGUUGGAAACGUCAACCGGGUAUUGACUUGUGAGUUAGAGGGCUCAUAAUGGAUUUCUGAUUGUUUGAAUAGUUUCGGGGGAUGAUUUAAGGCUUAGGAGAGCAAUCAGAAGUGAAUUU
rnacentral:lncRNA from 1 species